rnacentral:rRNA from 1 species
UACGGGGGGGGCAAGCGUUGUUCGGAAUUACUGGGCGUAAAGGGCUCGUAGGCGGCCAACUAAGUCAGACGUGAAAUCCCUCGGCUUAACCGGGGAACUGCGUCUGAUACUGGAUGGCUUGAGAUUGGGAGAGGGAUGCGGAAUUCCAGGUGUAGCGGUGAAAUGCGUAGAUAUCUGGAGGAACACCGGUGGCGAAGGCGGCCUUCUGGACGGUGACUGACGCUGAGGCGCGAAAGCGUGGGGAGCAAACGGG